AUACAUAGUGGCGCACGGGUGCGUAACACGUAUGCAACCUACCUUAUACUGGGGGAUAGCCUUUGGAAACGGAGAUUAAUACCCCAUAGUACAUUUGAUUGGCAUCAAUUAAAUGUUAAAGAUUUAUCGGUAUAAGCUGGGCAUGCGUCCAAUUAGUUAGUUGGUGAGGUAACGGCUCACCAAGACUUUGAUUGGUAGGGGAACUGAGAGGUUAAUCCCCCACACUGGCACUGAGAUACGGGCCAGACUCCUACGGGAGGCAGCAGUAGGGAAUAUUGGGCAAUGGAGGCAACUCUGACCCAGCCAUGCCGCGUGCAGGAAGAAGGCGUUAUGCGUUGUAAACUGCUUUUAUAUAGGAAGAAAUAGUCCUUGCGAGGAAAGUUGACGGUACUAUAUGAAUAAGCACCGGCUAACUCCGUGCCAGCAGCCGCGGUAAUACGGAGGGUGCAAGCGUUGUCCGGAUUUAUUGGGUUUAAAGGGUGCGUAGGCGGUUUAUUAAGUCAGUGGUGAAAGACGGUCGCUCAACGAUUGCAGUGCCAUUGAUACUGGUAGACUUGAGUGGGAUUGAGGUAGCUGGAAUGGAUAGUGUAGCGGUGAAAUGCAUAGAUAUUAUCCAGAACACCAAUUGCGUAGGCAAGUUACUAAGUCUCAACUGACGCUGAGGCACGAAAGUGUGGGUAUCAAACAGGAUUAGAUACCCUGGUAGUCCACACUGUAAACGAUGAUAACUAACUGUUGGCUUUCGAGUCAGUGGUACAGAGAAAUCGUUAAGUUAUCCACCUG
rnacentral:rRNA from 1 species